UUAGGAUGCAUGUAAAGAUCUAUUUCCUGAGAUGAAGCCGGAGAUUCUCUCUCUGGAGCCGAACAAGGUUUCUUUCCAUGGCAGAAAUAAUGUUUUACUAAGAGGAAGGAACCUGGAAUCUGUUACUAAAAUCCGUGUUCGAUGGGAUCUGGACUGCAUUUCUAAAGAAUUUCCAGUGUUUGAUCGCUCCAGUGACACUUUAAGGUUCCACAUUCCUCCCAGUGGAACUAAAGGAACAGUGAAAGUGUGUGUUGUUACUCCUGACGACCGUUGUCAUGGUAACAACAUCAUCACUUAUGUUUCCCAUCCCAGCUGCACUGGAAUACAGCCCGCAGUCAGCUGGAGCAGUGGUGGAAGGAAGAUUCAUGUUCAGGGCAGCAAUCUGGAAUUAGUGGAGUCAGUUACUGUCCUUCCCUCUAAUAAAGUGCUGAAAACACAAUACAACACAAGCUCAGGGGUAAGAUGUGUUUAUUACCUCAGCUGUAUCUGACACAGACGUCAGCAAUUUAUAACUUAAGUGAGUCUUCAAAAAAGCCAAUAUUCACACAUGUAGUGCAUGAGGUUUUUUAAUAUGUCCCUUGAGGUUCACUUAUAAUGUUAGUAGACGAUGCAAUGCAAAUAUCAACCACAGUGUGAUGUCACAAUCAGAGGGAAGUCAAAAAGAGUUUUGUUGGAAGCAGACUGACAGUAAUCAGGGCACAAAAAGGAUUGAGAAAGGACCUCAAGUCGAGACUCUGGUGUUACUCGAAUUGCAGCCACACUAAAUUUUGGAGCGCUCUACACAAGUCUAUCACCUCCGACUGCAAUGAUUUUUUGAAACAAUUUUUAAAAUGAUUUUUGAGUUGUGAGGACGGAUUUUGUGGAAAACUGCAUACUG
ensembl:lncRNA